rnacentral:rRNA from 1 species
GACGAACGCUGGCGGCGUGCUUAACACAUGCAAGUCGAACGGAAAGGCCCUGCUUUUGUGGGGUGCUCGAGUGGCGAACGGGUGAGUAACACGUGAGUAACCUGCCCUUGACUUUGGGAUAACUUCAGGAAACUGGGGCUAAUACCGGAUAGGAGCUCCUGCUGCAUGGUGGGGGUUGGAAAGUUUCGGCGGUUGGGGAUGGACUCGCGGCUUAUCAGCUUGUUGGUGGGGUAGUGGCUUACCAAGGCUUUGACGGGUAGCCGGCCUGAGAGGGUGACCGGCCACAUUGGGACUGAGAUGCGGCCCAGACUCCUACGGGAGGCAGCAGUGGGGAAUAUUGCACAAUGGGCGGAAGCCUGAUGCAGCAACGCCGCGUGCGGGAUGACGGCCUUCGGGUUGUAAACCGCUUUCGCCUGUGACGAAGCGUGGGUGACGGUAAUGGGUAAAGAAGCACCGGCUAACUACGUG